GGGUGAGUAACAGUUAUGCAACCUGCCCCUGUCAGGGGGACAACCCGCCGAAAGGCGGGCUAAACCCGCGUACAUGCCACCGGGGCAUCCCGGAGGCAGGAAAGGCUUCGGCCGGACAGGGAUGGGCAUGCGGCGCAUUAGGCAGUAGGCGGGGUAACGGCCCACCUAACCGACGAUGCGUAGGGGUUCUGAGAGGAAGGUCCCCCACACUGGUACUGAGACACGGACCAGACUCCUACGGGAGGCAGCAGUGAGGAAUAUUGGUCAAUGGUCGGGAGACUGAACCAGCCAAGCCGCGUGAGGGAGGAAGGUACAGAGUAUCGUAAACCUCUUUUGUCAGGGAACAAAGACUGGGACGCGUCCCCGGAUGAGUGUACCUGAAGAAAAAGCAUCGGCUAACUCCGUGCCAGCAGCCGCGGUAAUACGGAGGAUGCGAGCGUUAUCCGGAUUUAUUGGGUUUAAAGGGUGCGCAGGCGGUCUGUUAAGUCAGCGGUCAAAGCCCGGGGCUCAACCCCGGCCCGCCGUUGAAACUGGCAGUCUCGAGUUGGAGAGAAGUAUGCGGAAUGCGCGGUGUAGCGGUGAAAUGCAUAGAUAUCGCGCAGAACUCCGAUUGCGAAGGCAGCAUGCCGGCUCCACACUGACGCUGAGGCACGAAAGCGUGGGUAUCGAACAGGAUUAGAUACCCUGGUAGUCCACGCAGUAAACGAUG
rnacentral:rRNA from 1 species